rnacentral:rRNA from 1 species
UACGGAGGAUCCGAGCGUUAUCCGGAUUUAUUGGGUUUAAAGGGAGCGUAGGUGGAUUGUUAAGUCAGUUGUGAAAGUUUGCGGCUCAACCGUAAAAUUGCAGUUGAAACUGGCAGUCUUGAGUACAGUAGAGGUGGGCGGAAUUCGUGGUGUAGCGGUGAAAUGCUUAGAUAUCACGAAGAACUCCGAUUGCGAAGGCAGCUCACAGGACUGCAACUGACACUGAGGCUCGAAAGUGUGGGUAUCAAACAGG